GUCUGUGGGUGGUGGUCUGGAUGCACAUUGGCAUCGAACAUAACCUUUCUGUGUUUUCAGACUCCCAUUGAUUUCUAUGGUAUUUGCGGCCUCAAGGUUGAAAUUGACGCGGGCAUACCUAUUGAAUGUUUGAUAAAUUGGCAAGAGGGUCAAAUGGGCUUGAAUGUGACAGCAGAUUAUCAGUAUUCCGCUCGACUAACACAAGCAUUGAUCUGCAUCGGAUUGAUAUUGCGGGAUCGUAUAUUACGUCACACGUUUCAACAUUUGAAAAUAUUGACACUUUGUUAACUACGGCGAAUCAACUUUGCGUCUAAUUUGAUGCAGACUUCCAGCGCAUUAUCAGUUGAAGCUUUGAUAAAUCGGCCCUCUUAUCUGGAAUUCAAAGUGAAAUAGGUGCAAAUAGCAGGGAACAUCAUAUGAGAGACAUAACACUGAAUAGAAGAUUUUACUGGAAUGCAAGGUACAGAUUAACUGGGUAAUACACAGCAAAUGCAGCGUGAACUCUCUUGGGUGCUGAUGAGAAGAUCUUUGACAGCAAAAUCAAAGACUCAAAAAAUGGCUAAAAUUCUAUGAAUAACCAAGUGGUCUCUGAGUACCUAUGUUUUUCAGGGAUGUGAAACUUGAUCAUAAGUGGUGUCUGCUGUCUAGAACCUCUUGAAAUACCUCUUGAAAUAGGUGAGGAUCACAACAUUUGUUUUAAUUGUACAUUAUUAAAUAUUUAAAAUAUACCAGGGCAAUAUAGAAGAUACAUUUGAGGUUACCAUAAAGACACAAUACAUCACUAAGGGCUGAUUAUCAAAAACUCGCCAGAAUGGAGAGAACUCACACAAAGGGGCUGAAUUAUCAAGCUCCGAAUGGAGCUUGAUGCCCCUGUUUCCGCGCGAGCCUUCAGCCUCGUCUGAAACAGCAGUUAUGAAGCAGCGGUCUAAAGACUGCUGCUCCAUAACUGGUCCCCUGCCUCUAAGGCUGCGGUCUGCAUUCCACCCAAUCCUAUAUGAUCGGGCUGAUUGACACCGCCUGCUAGAGUCCGAUUGGCCGCGAAUCUCCAGGGGGAGGCAUUGCACAAGCAAUUCUAUUGAACUGCUUGUGCAAUGUUAAAUGCCAACAGCAUAUGCUGUCAGCAUUUAGCAAUGUCUGUCGGACAUGAUACACUACAGCAUAUCAUGUCGGACAGACAUUGAUAAAUCGGCCUCAAAGUCUUUUUUAGUAUUAUAUUGUAAUGUAAGUGCCUUUGUUCACAUCUAGAACGCUGCAUAGCAAGAUAAACAGCUCACAGGCUACAAUUUGCCUUUCAGUAAUUAUUUGAUGAACCUCACAAUACUGACACACUACUUAGAUAAUCUCGCUAGAUUGGAGAAUGUUAGAUCAUGAAGCCCUAACAAAGAGAUUGUCAAAUAUGGUUUUCUCAGUAACAAUGAGUUUUCUGUGUCUGUUCAGAUGUAAUCUUUAUGCAGCCAGCAAUUCCUUAUGUAGAGAUGUAAAUACUAUAUUCAUUUGGCAUGUAUAGUAUGUAUUGUUUUGUUUGUUUAAUAAAAAGUACUAAAUAUUGCUUAAAUCACACUGAAAUUAUAAAAGAUUACUCAAAUGAUCAAUGGAAUUGAUUCAUGGCUGCAGUGAAGCUUAUGGAUGAUAAAAAGUUUUCAAAUUACAAUACAAUCAAAAUUGUUAUUUGUAAACAAUAAGAAUUUAGAUUAUUGGUCGAGUUAAAAAAAUAAUUAGCCGUCAUGUUUUGCUUUCUCUUUGGUUUUGUGUCUUUUUUUGUUUUCAGAAUAGUCUGGGAAAAUCCCUGCAAAAAUACCUUGAAAAGCCUGUAAUAUUUUAGUCUUAGACUUUCAUGUGUUUAACUAGAUUUUUUGUCUUGUAUUUUUUGUAAUUACCCAGUUUUACUAACUCAGCUUCUGAAUGAUUGGAAUUGCUUUGAAAAUUAAGCAAAAAUUCACCCAAACUGCCAUAACAAUUUUGCACAAGAAUUAUGUGAUAACGGGGACAAUAUUGCGUAAAAUGAACUACUAUGACCUAAAAAGUGUGAUAAAUCAGUGCUUUAAUAAGCUGCCUGUUUUAAUAUGUGUCAUUACCAUGAGAGAAAAAUAAGUGAUUACUUUUUUAAUGAUAUAAUUUCAUUGCAUGUUUAGUUUAUUACUGUAUUUUAUAAUGAAUGGGGAUAAGUUAUGUUUGUACUUUGACAGUAAAACCUUAUUUUACAGAUAAAGAACUGACCUUAAAUGAA